AUGGCCCCUCAAACAGCCACGCCGCAACACCUGCUGACCCCUGCGCAGCACACCCACCCCUGCGCUCGGCCACCGUGGCGGCGGCGGCCCGGCUCCAGCGCGCCGGCGGCCGCAGUGGAGCACACGGAGGCGGUCGUCGGGGCAGGCGGUGCGAGGUGGGAGCCGAUGGGCGCGCGGGAGUACUACGACUACCGGCGGGGCAUCUACGACGACAUCACGCACAAGGCCAUCCUCGUCGACGCCCCAAGCACCAUCCUCGCCCCCACCGAGUCCAUGGCCCAGGUGUACAGAACAAUAGGCGAAAAGUAUGGGGUGAAGUACUCGGAGGAUGAGAUCUUGAUGAGGACCUCGAGGCCUCGGAGAGCCCCUCCGAACAAGACGCGCACGGGAGCUCUGCCUUGA
rnacentral:rRNA from 1 species